ACUCCGGUUGAUCCUGCCGGACCCCACUGCUAUCGGGGUGGGACUAAGCCAUGCGAGUCGGCGCCCUCCAGCCACCGGGGAGGGCGCGGCGGACGGCUCCGUAACACGUAGCUAACCUACCCUCAGGACGGGAAUAACCCCGGGAAACUGGGGCUAAUUCCCGAUAGGUGAGGAGGCCUGGAAUGGUCCCUCACCAAAAGGGUCCUGGAACCAUGCUUCCAGGGCCGCCUGAGGAUGGGGCUGCGGCCGAUCAGGUAGUUGGUGGGGUAACGGCCCACCAAGCCUAUAACCGGUACGGGCCGUGAGAGCGGGAGCCCGGAGAUGGGCACUGAGACAAGGGCCCAGGCCCUACGGGGCGCAGCAGGCGCGAAACCUCCGCAAUGCGCUCACGCGUGACGGGGUCACCCCGAGUGCCCCGAAGAGGGGCUUUUCCCCGCUGUAACUAGGCGGGGGAAUAAGCAGG
rnacentral:rRNA from 1 species